AUAGAGCGGUAAAGGAGAAAUAUUCUGUACAUCAGAUAUAAAAAGUAAAUUUUAUACAGUAUAUUUCUAAAAAUUUACUAUUAAAAUUUAAAUUAUAUAAUUUUUUACACAGAGCCCUUUUAUAUGGUUUAGAUUGAAUAUAACGAAUAUAAAUUUUGAAUUUAUAAUACUAAUAACUUAAGAUUGAUGAAGAACGAGAGUGAGAAAGAGAAGAAUUGGUGUGGAAAAAAAAAAAU
rnacentral:lncRNA from 1 species